rnacentral:misc_RNA from 1 species
CCGCACUUUGGUGCGGCCAACCGUUGUGGGGCUGUCUUUUCACUUUUCCUUCCGUCGUGCUUCUUUUGCCGGGGAGGAAUGCUUGUUAUCGGUGUCUGUAUGGUUCUACCCCCGCGGGGAACAACGUUGCGUUUAAAGAAGGAUUUUUGCUUUGCCCCGCUGAUAUUUGUUAUAUUUCGGUGCAAGCUGAUUUGUUGGCUGGGUGAGAACUUGUGUGGAAGUGGGCUCAUGCCCUGCGGCCGCACUUGGAUUUUGCCGGCUCUCACGGAUGCCGUGCCCAACGAGGAUUCUGCGGGCAUCUUGUCCCCUGAUUUCCUCGGGAGUUCCCAUGUAUCCUGGGUCAUUCCUCCGCCGCUCAGCUAUCGUGUUGCCGUUGUUGGGAUGUUGGAGCGGUGCGUGCGGGGCGUGCUCCGGUGCGUGCGAGAUGUCUAUCCUGAUUGAACGAGCGACUGUCGGUUUCCGUCGCGUGAAUGGACU